rnacentral:rRNA from 1 species
GACGAACGCUGGCGGCGUGCUUAACACAUGCAAGUCGAACGGAAAGGCCCUGCUUUUGUGGGGUGCUCGAGUGGCGCACGGGUGAGUAACACGUGAGUAACCUGCCCUUGACUUUGGGAUAACUUCAGGCAACUGGGGCUAAUACCGGCUAGGAGCUCCUGCUGCAUGGUGGGGGUUGGAAAGUUUCGGCGGUUGGGGAUGGACGCGCGGCUUAUCAGCUUGUUGGUGGGGUAGUGGCUUACCAAGGCUUUGACGGGUAGCCGGCCUGAGAGGGUGACCGGGGACAUUGGGACUGAGAGACGGCCCAGACUGCUACGUGAGGCAGCAGUGGGGAAUAUUGCACAAUGGGCGGAAGCCUGAUGCAGCAACGCCGCGUGCGGGAUGACGGCCUUCGUGGUGUAAACCGCUGUCGCCUGUGACGAAGCGUUAUUGACGGUAAUGGGUAAAGAAGCACCGGCUAACUACGUG